rnacentral:rRNA from 1 species
AGAGUUUGAUCAUGGCUCAGGAUGAACGCUAGCUACAGGCUUAACACAUGCAAGUCGAGGGGAAACGAUAUUGGAAGCUUGCUUCCGAUAGGCGUCGACCGGCGCACGGGUGAGUAACGCGUAUCCAACCUGCCCACCACUUGGGGAUAACCUUGCGAAAGUAAGACUAAUACCCAAUGACGUCUCUAGAAGACAUCUGAAAGAGAUUAAAGAUUUAUCGGUGAUGGAUGGGGAUGCGUCUGAUUAGCUUGUUGGCGGGGUAACGGCCACCAAGGCUACGAUCAGGUAGGGGUUCUGAGAGGAGGGUCCCCCANAUUGGAACUGAGACACGGUCCAAACUCCUACGGGAGGCA